rnacentral:rRNA from 1 species
AUAUUGGACAAUGGGGUAAACCCUGAUGCAGAGACUCCGCGUGAGUGAAGAAGUAUUACAGUAUGUAACACUCUAUCAGCAGGGAAGAAAAUGACGGUAACUGACUAAGAAGCACCGGCUAAAUACGUGCCAGCAGCCGCGGUAAUACGUAGGGGGCAAGCGUUAUCCGGAUUUACUGGGUGUAAAGGGAGCGUAGGUGGUUUGGUAAGUCAGAUGUGAAAGCCCGGGGCUCAACCCCGGGACUGCAUUUGAAACUAUCAAACUAGAGUGCAGGAGAGGUAAGUGGAAUUCCUAGUGUAGCGGUGAAAUGCGUAGAUAUUAGGAGGAACACCAGUGGCGAAGGCGGCUUACUGGACUGUAACUGACACUGAGGCUCGAAAGCGUGGGGAGCAAAC